GAUGAACGCUAGCUACAGGCUUAACACAUGCAAGUCGCGGGGCAGCAUGGGGGUUGCUUGCAAUCCCCGAUGGCGACCGGCGCACGGGUGAGUAACGCGUAUCCAACCUGCCCUUCACCACGGGAUAACCCGGCGAAAGUCGGACUAAUACCGUAUGUUGUCCAUUGACGGCAUCCGAUUUGGACGAAAGGCUUGGCGGUGAGGGAGGGGGAUGCGUCCGAUUAGCCAGACGGCGGGGUAACGGCCCACCGUGGCUACGAUCGGUAGGGGUUCUGAGAGGAAGGUCCCCCACACUGGAACUGAGACACGGUCCAGACUCCUACGGGAGGCAGCAGUGAGGAAUAUUGGUCAAUGGGCGUAAGCCUGAACCAGCCAAGUAGCGUGCAGGAUGACGGCCCUAUGGGUUGUAAACUGCUUUUAUGCGGGGAUAAAGUGGCCCACGUGUGGGCUUUUGCAGGUACCGCAUGAAUAAGGGCCGGCUAAUUCCGUG
rnacentral:rRNA from 1 species